UGGGGAAUAUUGCACAAUGGGGGAAACCCUGAUGCAGCGACGCCGCGUGAGCGAAGAAGUAUCUCGGUAUGUAAAGCUCUAUCAGCAGGGAAGAAAAUGACGGUACCUGACUAAGAAGCUCCGGCUAAAUACGUGCC
rnacentral:rRNA from 1 species